rfam:Gymnopus luxurians FD-317 M1 unplaced genomic scaffold GYMLTscaffold_43, whole genome shotgun sequence.
UCCCUGGUAGUAUAUCGGUUAGUACACGCGCCUGUCAUUGCAAAUGUUGCAUAUUCCUUGAACGCGCGAAAGCUGGGUUCGACUCCCAGCCAGGGAG